AGUAAUAUAGAGGAAAGUCCAUGCUCACAAGGACUGUGAUGUCCUUAAUGUUUAUGUCUAGGGAAAAAAUAACCUAGAGUAGAGGUAACUCUAACGGCGAUAUGUUAUUCUAAGUCAUUUGAUAGGAAUAACGUGUCAUAAAGUGCCACAGUGACGAUGUUGUUUUGAAAAGAACAAAGUGAAACGUUGGUAAACCCCAUAAGUGAGAAACCCAAAUCAAUUGGUAGGGGAGUCUUGAUGAAGGAAGGAUAACGGAUUCAAGGACCGAACUUGUUCGGUAGAUAGAUGUUUGUCACCUAGAAAUAGGUACAGAACAUGGCUUAUAA
rnacentral:RNase_P_RNA from 1 species